GGACCUGUAGCUCAGUAGUUAGAGUGCUGGCCCUGCAAACCAGGGGCAGUGAUUUCAAGCCUCAUCUGGACCU
rnacentral:tRNA from 1 species